rnacentral:lncRNA from 1 species
AUUGUCAUUUCACAUUACAGACGUCGAAUCAAUUAUCAUUUCACAUUACAGGUGUCGAACCAAUUGUCGUUUCACAUUAUAAGUGUUAAACCACUUGUUGUUUCACAUUACAGGCGUCAAACCACUUAUCUUUUCACAUCAUCAGUCGUCAAGCCGCUUGCCUUUUAACAUUGUAAGGGCUAAGCUAGAAAUCUUCUAUAAAUAGAAGCCUAGUUCUUCAUUAUUUUUCACCAAUUCAUUCAAGCUAUAGAGAGAGAAAGUAUAGAGAGAAUAAGAGAGAAAGAAGAAGAGUAUUCUGUUACUACACUAUUGCAGUAUCCAAUCUCCUACCAAGGUAAGGGGUAUUAUUUCUUUCGUAUUAAUGAAGAGAGUUAUUUCUUUCAAUACUCGUAAGGGUUGUUAUUCCAUUCUUUAUCAUUCUGUUGGAAUAACCUGUCUAUGUAACGCCCCAGAAAAUCGAACCUUUGUAAAUACUUUUAUUAAUAAAUAAAAUAAUAUUAUUUAUUAUUAUUACGUAUGGAUAAGAUGAAUGUCGUUCUAUAACCUAGAAACGUUGGAAUGUCGUAGUAUUUUAACUACGUGAGAGAAUUAAAGUGUUUGAAUUUUUAAGACUAAAAUAAAAGCUUUCGGAGAAAUUUUCCAAAAAACACUAUUCAUCAAUUUCUGCUCGGGAAUUAUUUUUGAAUUUCUGAGAAAUACGUAACGUUAUAAUAUCAAGGUGAGAUGGAUUGUGUAAUAAUAAUCUAAUUAUGAAAAACGUAAUAUUUCUCAUGCGGACUUAAUUUUGGAACGUUAGGUUUAUUAAGCGUUAAAGGAAGAAAGUUGUGAUCGUAUAAUGUGUAUUCAUUAUAUGAAAGUAAUGAAUGUAAGUAUAAUACGACGUAUUGUACUAUUAUGUAUGAAGAAUGAGAUAACGUAUAUUAUGAAUUAAUAUACGAAUUAGCAUACGAAGAUUAUACGUGGUGUAUAUAUGUUAAGUUGUUAAUUAAAUGUAAUAGACUUGUAGGAUUAUUAACCUAAUAGUAUAAGUCCAAUAGAAUGUGACAAUCAAGCCCAAGUGUUUGAUAAGUCUGAAAGUAAUAUGCACACAAGCCAAUCAUGUUUGAUGAUAAAGUAUAUACUUUGUAACAAUCUUAUUCAUUUAUUAAUAAAAAUUAUUAAUUUAUUAAAGGCUUUUAAUUAUCUACAUGAUGUUGUUUUAUAAUAUGUG